rnacentral:tRNA from 1 species
GUGGCUGGGGCUCAGCAGUAGAGCACUCCUCUUCCAUGUGUGAGUCCCUGGGUUCGAUUCUCAGCUCCACA